rnacentral:rRNA from 1 species
AGCGUUAUCCGGAAUCAUUGGGCGUAAAGCGCCUGUAGGUUGUUUAAUAAGUCUGUUGUUAAAGACUAGGGCUCAACCCUAGAAAAGCAAUGGAAACUAUUAGACUAGAGUAUGGCAGGGGUAGAGGGAAUUUCUAGUGUAGCGGUGAAAUGCGUAGAUAUUAGAAAGAACACCAGCGGCGAAAGCGCUCUACUGGACCAUUACUGACACUCAGAGGCGAAAGCUAGGGUAGCAAAAGGGAUUAGAUACCCCUGUAGUCCUAGCCGUAAACGAUGGAUACUAGAUGUUGUGCUUCCGUACAGUAUCGUAGCUAACGCGUUAAGUAUCCCGCCUGGGGAGUACGCUUGCAAGGGUGAAACUCAAAGGAAUUGACGGGGGCCCGCACAAGCGGUGGAGCAUGUGGUUUAAUUCGAUGCAACGCGAAGAACCUUACCAGGGCUUGACAUACUACAGAUUCUUUAGAGAUAGAGAAGUGCCUCCGGGAAUGUAGAUACAGGUGGUGCAUGGCUGUCGUCAGCUCGUGUCGUGAGAUGUUGGGUUAAGUCCCGCAACGAGCGCAACCCUUAUUUUUAGUUACCAAUUCGUUGGGUUCUCUAGAAAGACUGCCGGUGACAAACCGGAGGAAGGUGAGGAUGACGUCAAGUCAGCAUGCCCCUUAUGUCCUGGGCUACACACGUGCUACAAUGGUUAAGACAAAGAGUUGCGAGCUCGCAAGAGUCAGCUAAUCUCAUAAACUUAGCCUAAGUUCAGAUUGUAGGCUGCAACU